AAAGACUGAUUGCAAGUGGAAGAAAUCAGAAGCAAAACAACCAGGAUCUUCACAGAUGUUAAUGUAAACAGAGAUGGUGACACUGUUUUGCUACUCUUUCAGCAAAACGCAGACAAUCUUGGAGCAGCGUACUGCUUUCAGACAAUGAUCUAUCAUAUUGUUUUUGACUUUCUAGUCUAGCCUGUGGCCUUGGUGGUAUCCCAGAAGCAAAUCAAGAUCUGAAGAUGAAGAUGCUUUUAAAUACAAAUAAGCACUGGGCCAUUACCACUGGCAAGAUGACAACAGAGGCUGUGCCAGGCAAUUCUUGGAGGCUUUUUUGGAGGUUGCUGAACCCUUGCCCAGAAAAUGUGCCAGUGGUUUACUUUUUUAUCCUACUUCCCCACAAAUACCUUUGCUCAGCAUGGAAGUUAAACUGAUUAUAAUGUUGACUUGGCACAUGUAAAGUCAUAGGCAUGCUUGACUGGAGUUAGAUGAAAUUCCACCGUAAUGUCAGUGAAACUUAAAAGUGCUUUUUCUAGGAUGGCUGAACUAUUCCUGAUCGUGAGUCAGCUUUUAUACACUCAAAGUUGGUGCUCUGUGCUGCCUGGUGUCAAAACGUAUACAGUUUGAGGUGAGGGUGGGAUGAGAAUAUAAUUACAACCCCUUUGCAAUGUUCAUGAAUAGUAUCUGCUUGAUAUAAAGUUAGAUGUGUAAUGAUUUAUGGAGUAAUGAACUAUGAAUAAAAAUGGGGAAUUAUUAAGUAGUAGUAUCUGACCAUACUUACAGUAUACCAUUUCUCUCUCAGACACUGAAUUAGGUACCAUGUUUAAUCAUUCAUACUACCUGAAAUUUAGAAAGGAACAGCAAAGUAAUGCUUCUCUAGCACCUCCAAAUAAUGGAAAGAUACGUUUCUGAAAAACUCUGAAGUCUAAAAACAUGCCUAGGCAGAUUUCUAAACAAAUUGUGUCAGUAUUUCUGAGCAGAUGACCUGCAACAUUGCAGCUUUGCUUAGGAUGAUAACAUACCAUUACUGACUCCUGAAUUAUUCACCCCAGUGUGCCACCAUUCCUAUGUGUGGUAUAAUCUAUUGUUAAGAAUACUCAGUCACUGUUUGCCA